rnacentral:rRNA from 1 species
GACGAACGCUGGCGGCGUGCCUAAUACAUGCAAGUUGAGCGCUGAAGGUUGGUACUUGUACCGACCGGAUGAGCAGCGAACGGGUGAGUAACGCGUGGGGAAUCUGCCUUUGAGCGGGGGACAACAUUUGGAAACGAAUGCUAAUACCGCAUAAAAACUUUAAACACAAGUUUUAAGUUUGAAAGAUGCAAUUGCAUCACUCAAAGAUGAUCCCGCGUUGUAUUAGCUAGUUGGUGAGGUAAAGGCUCACCAAGGCGAUGAUACAUAGCCGACCUGAGAGGGUGAUCGGCCACAUUGGGACUGAGACACGGCCCAAACUCCUACAGGAGGCAGCAGUAGGGAAUCUUCGGCAAUGGACGAAAGUCUGACCGAGCAACGCCGCGUGAGUGAAGAAGGUUUUCGGAUCGUAAAACUCUGUUGGUAGAGAAGAACGUUGGUGAGAGUGGAAAGCUCAUCAAGUGACGGUAACUACCCAGAAAGGGACGGCUAACUACGUG